AUGAGGCUCUCGCACUGUGAGACCUACUGCGCCGCCCCCCUCUGCUACAUCCCCUGCCUCCCCAAAUCCAAAGAUGCACCACCACCCGCCGCCGCCGACGCCGUCGCAGCGGCCCCCUGCCCGGUCGAGGACAAGCCGCCCCAGGUCCAGAAGAUUGAGGUCGUCGCGCCGGCGGCGGCCGACAAGGAUGAAGACGACAAGGAGCACGAGGACGGCGACAAGACGGCGGCCGCCGCGGCGCCACUGCCCAAGAGCAACCUCAAGAAGGCCAACUGCGGCGAGGACGGCGUGUGCGCCCCCAAGGGCAAUGUGAAGUGGCUCGAUUUGCUGGGGAAGGAUCUCACCGAGGUCAAGGAGUUCGAGCCAAGCGAAUCCGGAGACUCGAUGGACGACGAAGGCAUCUCGACGUGCGUGUGCGUCAUCCAAUGA
rnacentral:rRNA from 1 species